UACAGGGGGGGCAAGCGUUGUUCGGAAUUACUGGGCGUAAAGGGCCAGUAGGCGGCCAACUAAGUCCGACGUGAAAUCCCCAAGCUUAACUUGGGAACUGCGUCGGAUACUGGAUGGCUUGAAUUCGGGAGAGGGAUGCAGAAUUCCAGGUGUAGCGGUGAAAUGCGUAGAUAUCUGGAGGAAUACCGGUGGCGAAGGCGGCAUCCUGGACCGACAUUGACGCUGAACGGCGAAAGCU
rnacentral:rRNA from 1 species